CUACCGACCCUAAUCCUAACCCUGAUUUAAAUCGAACCUUGACUUAACCCUUAACUCACCCUUUUGAUCGCAGAAUACCACACGUAGGAAGACGUGUUUACCAGUAGGCCUAUAUUACCUCAACAUGUAAAAUCCUUUAUAGGCAAUCGCGUAAGCAUUAAGCAAUGUGGAUGAAGCAACUAAGGAAGAAGCUUGUAUUUAAGCCUCCACCCUCUGUGGAUCUUAUUUAAACUGACCUCUGCGGUAACAACGAGGUUUCAUUAAUAAGUCGGUAUUCUGAAUUUGACGCUUAGACCAGACAAUCGACAGCGUAUUGAUUUGGGUUGGAUUGGGAAUGUCUGGGAGUCUUGCUGAAGGAGAAAGCCUUGAGUUGAGGAUGGAGAACGGAGAGAGAGGCGAAGAAUUGGCUUCUCCCAAGAAUGAGCCAACAGCCUUUGAGGGCCUGCGAUUGAAGCCCACAAUACUCGGAGCGAUUGAAGUGGCAAUUGGGAUCUCCAUGGCACUGACCGCAAUUACGUAUCUGGCUGUCGAUGUCGACCUCGUCAUAACAGCAAUCCUCUUCUGGGGUAUCUUCAUCUACAUCCCUGCUGGGGGUCUGACCAUCGCUGCUGACAGGAAACCCACCAGGGCCAAGACCCUCAUUCAACAUUUAAAGUACAGAAUCCAUUCAUACCAUUUAACGAGAAAACACACACAUCCCUCACUGUUAUUGAUCCACAGGCUGCACUGAGACCUUCACUGACAAUCCUCUACCCCGUCAAAAGAAAACCCAGGAAUCUAAGACCCCCUCGUUCUAAAGUGGACAAAACAAAAGAUGAGCCUCUUCUAUCUUCAGAAUUCACACCAAAAGUUGUAUUUUAUAAAUAUUUCUUUGUGCACCUUUUUCAUCUACUGAUAUCUUUCUAAGGCGGUUUACUUUGAUAUUGCAGAGAUAUUGUAACCUUGAUGUAAAUGAUUGUUGUGUUUCCAGAAUAUGUUUUACAUAUAUAUCUUAUGUACAAUUGUUGCAUAUGUUUGUGUUUUUUGAUUACCUUUUAGUUUGAAUCAGAAGUUUAUUUUUCCAUUUAUGAAAAUUGUAUUGCUGCACAUGAAUAUUCAUCAGUUGUCUUCGAUCAUAUUAUCUAUAAGCCCUUUUCAUUACCUUAAUUUAAAGAUUUUAUAUAUUUACUACCGUUCAUGAUAAUUAAAAUACACUAGGAAAUCAUUUAUGACCCUGACUUUCCCUACUGAAGAUGCAGGUUUUAUCUUAAGGACCACUUCUGUCUACCCUGUAAUCAUUGAAGAUCGGCUCACAACGCUCAGGGGCGCCACCUGCAGGCCAGGGUGAAAACCUCGUUUUCUCAAAAUCCCACUCCUGUUCCGGUGAAGCAGCGCGACGGAGCAUCUCACUGGACAUGCGCGUCACACCACAGAAGUUGGCACGGCCGUUCCUCUUCCCAUUACGCGUCAGUUCCUCCGCGUCUCGAGUCGGGUCGGAGUCUCGUUCUCCUCGGUGUCACUGAGGAGUUGAGGUCUGCGCUGUCUGCGCCAUGGACGCGUCGGGUUGGGUUUACCUGCGCAGUGGGGCGGUGUGACCGAGGGGUGGUCCAGGGUUUGGAGACCGACGCGCUCUGCUCUGCUAGAGGAACCGAGGACCACAGCAGAGAACGUUCUCUACCCUCUGAAGAACGGUGCACGAAGGUAUCCAACACGGGAGGAGAUUGAGCUUAGACACACCGGUUGGAUUCCCGUGUUCCUCUUCUUCGUUCCCAGACGGCGGGAUGAUGGAAUAUUUUUUUUACGUUUUCCACGUGGAUUUGAAAUUCGCGUGAAAUUCCACCUGGAGAUCCGAGGAGCGGAGAGCUGGUCUAGAGAUCCGACGAGCGGAGAGCUGGUCUGGAGACCACUGACUUCGACCCGCUGGUCUGUAGUUUGAUGUAAAGAGGCGGACGUUUGUUCCUCUCCCUCUCCAGCCCAGCAUGACGUCGCUAACGGGGACCAAGGAGAGGUCCGUGAACCGGAGCAGGAGAUACGGGGGGCCCGACACCUCCCCGACCAAAUCGGCGUCCUUCUCCCCGGAGACCUGGUACCGCAGGGCGUACGAGGAGUCCCGCGGCGCCGCCCGGCCCGCCCCCGAGGGCGCCGGGUCCAUGCCCAGCUCCACGGGCACGCCCUCCCCCGGCUCGGGCACCUCGUCCCCCGGCUCCUUCUCCGGCUCCCCGGGGACGGUGUCCCCUGGGAUCGGGACGGGCUCCCCGGGGUCCCUGGGCGGCUCCCCGGGCUUCGGGACGGGCUCCCCGGCCUCGGGCAGCGGCAGCUCCCCCGGGAGCGAGCGCGGAGGCUGGUGUGAGGACUGCAGCGCGCGGCUGGAGGAGCUGAAGGGACAGGCGCUCAAACUGCUGAUCCCCGGACCCUGCUCCAGCAAGGUACCG